CUAUCAUGCAAGUCGAACGCUUCUUUCUUAUCGAACUUCGGUUCACCAAGAAAGAAGAGUGGCGGACGGGUGAGUAACACGUGGGUAACCUGCCCUUUAGCGGGGGAUAACACUUGGAAACAGGUGCUAAUACCGCAUAAUCUUUUUUCUCGCAUGAGAAAAAAGUGAAAGACGCUUUUGCGUCACUAAAGGAUGGACCCGCGCUGCAUUAGCUAGUUGGUGAGGUAACGGCUCACCAAGGCCACGAUGCAUAGCCGACCUGAGAGGGUGAUCGGCCACACUGGGACUGAGACACGGCCCAGACUCCUACGGGAGGCAGCAGUAGGGAAUCUUCGGCAAUGGACGAAAGUCUGACCGAGCAACGCCGCGUGAGUGAAGAAGGUUUUCGGAUCGUAAAACUCUGUUGUUAGAGAAGAAUAAGGAUGAGAGUAGAAAGUUCAUCCCUUGACGGUAUCUAACCAGAAAGCCACGGCUAACUACGUGCCAGCAGCCGCGGUAAUACGUAGGUGGCAAGCGUUGUCCGGAUUUAUUGGGCGUAAAGCGAGCGCAGGCGGUUUCUUAAGUCUGAUGUGAAAGCCCCCGGCUUAACCGGGGAGGGUCAUUGGAAACUGGGAGACUUGAGUGCAGAAGAGGAGAGUGGAAUUCCAUGUGUAGCGGUGAAAUGCGUAGAUAUAUGGAGGAACACCAGUGGCGAAGGGCGACUCUCUGGUCUGUAACUGACGCUGAGGCUCGAAAGCGUGGGGAGCGAACAGGAUUAGAUACCCUGGUAGUCCACGCCGUAAACGAUGAGUGCUAAGUGUUGGAGGGUUUCCGCCCUUCAGUGCUGCAGCAAACGCAUUAAGCACUCCGCCUGGGGGAGUACGG
rnacentral:rRNA from 1 species